GGCAAAGGAGGUGAAAAUGCAGUGACAAUCAGGAGGUUUGCCUAGAAGCAGCCACCCUUUAAAGAGUGCGUAAUAGCUCACUGAUCAAGCGUUUUCGCGCCGAAAAUGACCGGAACUAAGUUUUUUGCCGAAGCUGUGGCUACAUCACAUAGAUGAUGUAGGGUAGAGGAGCGUUCCGUCCAGGGGGAAGCCAAGCGCGUAAGCCGCGGUCGACAGGACGGAAGUGAGAAUGUCAGAUUGAGUAACGUAAACAUUGGUGAGAAUCCAAUGCCCCGAAAACUCAAGGGUUCCUGCGCAAGGCUCGUCCGCGCAGGGUCAGUCAGGACCUAAGGUGAGGCCGAAAGGCGUAAUUGAUGGCAAGAAGGUUUAUAUUCCUUCACUAAUCUAGGCUUAGUCCUGAGGGACGAACAAAUAACACUCGGCACAACGGCCACACUUGGCAGUAUGGAUAAACCCGUUGCUGUUUGAUGCUAUUUAUUCCAAGAAAAGCUCAUUCGACUUUGAGUCUAGAUUACCUGUACCGUAAACCGACACAGGUGAGUGGGUUGAAUAAACUAAGGGGAGCGAGAUAACUCUCUCUAAGGAACUCGGCAAAUUGGCUCUGUACCUUCGGAAGAAAGAGUGCCCCUUCAUGGGGCCGCAGUGAAGAGAUCCAGGCGACUGUUUACCAAAAACACAGGUCUCCGCAAAGUCGUAAGACGACGUAUGGGGGCUGACACCUGCCCAGUGCCAGAAGGUUAAAGAAGUUGGUCAAUCUUUGAUGAAGCUAACAACUGAAGCCCUGGUGAACGGCGGCAGUAACAAUAACUGUCCUAAGGUAGCGAAAUUCCUUGUCGGGUAAGUUCCGACCCGCACGAAAGGUGUAACGAUCUGGAUACUGUCUCAGAGAGAGACUCGGUGAAAUAAAACUAGCUGUGAAGAUGCGGCUUACCUGCACACGGACAGAAAGACCCUAUGAAGCUUUACUGUAACCUGGAAUUGCUUUCAAGCUUAUUUUGCGCAGCUUAGGUGGGAGGCUACGAACCUUUUCUUCCGGGAAGAGGGGAGCCAUCAGUGAGAUACCACUCUUGGUAAGCUAGAAAGCUCAGUCUUAACCGUUAUCCGGUAAGACGACAGUUUCAGGCGGGCAGUUUGACUGGGGCAGUCACCUCCCAAAAGGUAAUGGAGGUGCACAAAGGUUCCCUCAGGUUGGACGGAAAUCAACCAUAGAGUGUAAAAGCAUAAGGGAGCUUGACUGCGAGACUGACAUGUCAAGCAGAGACGAAAGUCGGUUUUAGUGAUCCGACGGUGCUGCGUGGAAAGGCCGUCGCUCAACGGAUAAAAGUUACUCUAGGGAUAACAGGCUAAUCUCCCCCAAGAGUUCACAUCGACGGGGAGGUUUGGCA
rnacentral:rRNA from 1 species